rnacentral:rRNA from 1 species
GGAUGCCUACGGGGGGCAGCAGUGAGGAAUAUUGGUCAAUGGGAGAGAUCCUGAACCAGCCAAGCCGCGUGAGGGAAGACGGCCCUAUGGGUUGUAAACCUCUUUUGUCGGAGAACAAAACCCGGGACGUGUCCCGGACUGCGUGUAUCCGAAGAAAAGGCAUCGGCUAACUCCGUGCCAGCAGCCGCGGUAAUACGUAGGGGGCAAGCGUUAUCCGGAUUUACUGGGUGUAAAGGGAGCGUAGACGGCAGCACAAGUCUGGAGUGAAAUCC